UCGACCUAGUUCCGACAAAU
rnacentral:rRNA from 1 species